rnacentral:rRNA from 1 species
CCGCGAUAGGUCAAGAUUUCUGGAAUGGAUCCUGGCUUAAAUCUACAUGGCCCCUGGAUUGGACUGCGGCCGAUCAGGCUGUUGGUGAGGUAAUGGCCCACCAAACCUAUAACCGGUACGGGCUCUGAGAGGAGAAGCCCGGAGAUGGGCACUGAGACAAGGGCCCAGGCCCUAUGGGGCGCAGCAGGCGCGAAAACUCUGCAAUGGGCGAAAGCCUGACAGGGUUACUCUGAGUGAUUUCCGCUAAGGAGAUCUUUUGGCAGCUCUAAAAAUGGUGCAGAAUAAGGGGUGGGCAAGUCUGGUGUCAGCCGCCGCGGUAAUACCAGCACCCCGAGUGGUCGGGACGAUUAUUGGGCCUAAAGCAUCCGUAGCCGGUUGUGCAAGUCCUCCGUUAAAUCCAGCCGCUCAACGGAUGGGCUGCGGAGGAUACUACAGAACUAGGAGGCGGGAGAGGCAAGCGGUACUUAGUGGGUAGGGGUAAAAUCCUUUGAUCCAUUGAAGACCACCAGUGGCGAAGGCGGCUUGCCAGAACGCGCUCGACGGUGAGGGAUGAAAGCUGGGGGAGCAAACCGGAUUAGAUACCCGGGUAGUCCCAGCUGUAAACGAUGCAGACUCGGUGAUGGGCUAGCCUCGUGUCAGCCCAGUGCCGCAGGGAAGCCGUUAAGUCUGCCGCC